rnacentral:misc_RNA from 1 species
AACGCACAUUGCGCCCUUUGGUAUUCCAAAGGGCAUGCCUGUUUGAGCGUCAUUUCUCUCUCAAACCUUCGGGUUUGGUAUUGAGUGAUACUCUUAGUCAAGCUAAGUGUUUGCUUAAAAUGUAUCGGCAUAAGUAGUACUAGAUAGUGCUGUUUGACAAUUUCAAUGUAUUAGGUUUAUCCAACUCGUUGAAUGGUCUUGCGGUGAGUUUCUGGUAAUUUGGCUUGGCCUUACAACAAACCACAAAGUUUGACCUCAAAUCAGGUAGGAAUACCCGCUGAACUUAA